rnacentral:hammerhead_ribozyme from 2 species
UUAAGACAUUGCCUACAGCUGACAAGCUCCACAAAGAGCAAAACCAGUGAGGAUCCUGUAACACUGUCCUACAGAGCU